AACGAACGCUGGCGGCAGGCUUAACACAUGCCAGUCGAGCGCCUCGCCAGAGGCGCGGCAGCCGGGUGAGUAGCGCGUGGGAACGUACACUUAUCUUCGGACUAGCUCUGAGACACUGGAAGUAAUACCGAAUUUGCCCUUAGGGGGAAAGAUUUAUCGGAUAAGGAUCGGCCCGCGUUGGAUUAGCUAGUUGGUGGGGUAAAGGCCUACCAAGGCGACGAUCCAUAGCUGAUCUGAGAGGAUGAUCAGCCACAUUGGGACUGAGACACGGCCCAAACUCAUACGGGAGGCAGCAGUGGGGAAUAUUGGGCAAUGGGCGCAAGCCGGAUCCAGCCAUGCCGCGUGAGUGAUGAAGGCCUUAGGGUUGUAAAGCUCUUUGACCGGAGAAGUUAAUGACGGUACCCGGAGAAGAAGCCCCGGCUAACUUCGUG
rnacentral:rRNA from 1 species